CAGGCCUAACACAUGCAAGUCGAGGGGCAGCGCGUUGUAGCAAUACGAUGGCGGCGACCGGCGAAAGGGUGAGUAACGCGUGAGCAACGUGCCCGUAUGUGGGGGAUAGUCGAUGGAAACGUCGCGUAAUACCCCGUAACACAAGGGACCGCAUGAUCUCUUGUUGAAAGAUUCAUUGCAUACGGAUCGGCUCGCGUGCCAUUAGGUAGACGGCGGGGUAACGGCCCACCGUGCCGACGAUGGCUAGGGGUUCUGAGAGGAAGGUCCCCCACAUUGGAACUGAGACACGGUCCAGACUCCUACGGGAGGCAGCAGUGAGGAAUAUUGGACAAUGGCCGGAAGGCUGAUCCAGCCAUGCCGCGUGCGGGAGGACGGCCCUAUGGGUUGUAAACCGCUUUUGCGGGGGAGCAAUAAUCACUACGUGUAGUGAGAUGAGAGUACCCUGCGAAUAAGCAUCGGCUAACUCCGUGCCAGCAGCCGCGGUAAUACGGAGGAUGCAAGCGUUAUCCGGAUUUAUUGGGUUUAAAGGGUGCGUAGGCGGUUUGCUAAGCGGGAGGUGAAAUGCCGGCGCUCAACGUCGGAAGUGCCUCCCGAACUGGUGGACUGGAAUGACUCUGCCGUGGGAGGAAUGUGUAGUGUAGCGGUGAAAUGCUUAGAGAUUACACAGAACACCGAUUGCGAAGGCAUCUCACGAAGGGUUGAUUGACGCUGAGGCACGAAAGCGUGGGGAUCAAACAGGAUUAGAUACCCUGGUAGUCCGCACAGUAAACGAUGAAUACUCGCUGUCGGCGAUAUACAGUCGGCGGCCAAGCGAAAGCAUUAAGUAUUCCACCUGGGGAGUACGCCGGCAACGGUGAAACUCAAAGGAAUUGACGGGGGCCCGCACAAGCGGAGGAACAUGUGGUUUAAUUCGAUGAUACGCGAGGAACCUUACCCGGGCUUGAACUGCACCCGACGGACAGAGAGAUUUGUCUUCCGCAAGGCGGGUGUGGAGGUGCUGCAUGGUUGUCGUCAGCUCGUGCCGUGAGGUGUCGGCUUAAGUGCCAUAACGAGCGCAACCCUUCUCUUCAGUUGCCAUCAGGUAAUGCUGGGCACUCUGGAGACACUGCCAUCGUAAGAUGCGAGGAAGGUGGGGAUGACGUCAAAUCAGCACGGCCCUUACGUCCGGGGCUACACACGUGUUACAAUGGGAGGUACAGAAGGCCGCGACCCGGCGACGGGAAGCCAAUCCCCAAAUCCUCUCUCAGUUCGGACUGGAGUCUGCAACCCGACUCCACGAAGCUGGAUUCGCUAGUAAUCGCGCAUCAGCCAUGGCGCGGUGAAUACGUUCCCGG
rnacentral:rRNA from 1 species